GAGGGUAUAGCUCAGUGAAAGAGUGUGUGCAUAGCAUGCACAAGGUCCUGAGUUCAAUCCCCAGUACUUCCA
rnacentral:tRNA from 1 species